rnacentral:lncRNA from 1 species
UCAUAUGAUAUGAAAUAACGCAGGAAAUCGGUAUAAGGAUAUAAGCAGCAUUACAACAGGCCCCACCAAGCUUAGUUUUUCAUGCGUACCCACCGAAUACAUUACAUGUUCAUACUCCAAAAGGAGAGCAUAUUAUAACAUGUACAGCUUGAUGUUCGUUCCAGAAAGCUCUUAAUUUCUCAUAUAUACUAGCAAUAGUACUACUCUUUAUCAUCUUCUUCAUAUAUAAGCAAGCAGAUAGAAGAAGAGAGAGAGAGAUCUAGUACUCAGGGCUAAGUAGAUCGAGAGAUCGAUCGAGAGAGAUGAAUGAACCACCAAAAUAUGCUUAUCCCUACCCUGCUCAAGGUAAGUACUCUUCUUCUUCUUAAUUCUUCUUGAUUAGUUCAUCUCCUUGCUCAACCCUUCCAUAAAUAAAUAAAUAAAUAUAUAUAUAUAUAUAUAUAUAUAUAUAUAUAUAUAUAUAUAUAUAUAGGGUCAAGAUCAGGUAAGGGAUCCCUUACUUUCUUAAAAUGAGGGAC